rnacentral:rRNA from 1 species
UACGAAGGGGGGCUAGCGUUGCUCGGAAUCACUGGGCGUAAAGCGCACGUAGGCGGAUCUUUAAGUCAGGGGUGAAAUCCCAAGGCUCAACCUUGGAACUGCCUUUGAUACUGGGGGAUCUCGAGUCCGGAAGAGGUUGGUGGAACUGCGAGUGUAGAGGUGAAAUUCGUAGAUAUUCGCAAGAACACCAGUGGCGAAGGCGGCCAACUGGUCCGGAACUGACGCUGAGGUGCGAAAAGCGUGGGGGAGCAAACA